rnacentral:tRNA from 1 species
GGGCGAAUGGCGGAACUGGUAGACGCGCUAGGUUCAGGGUCUAGUGCUCGAAAGAGUGUGGGGGUUCGAGUCCCCCUUCGCCCACCA